rnacentral:rRNA from 1 species
UACGGAGGGUGCAAGCGUUAUCCGGAUUCACUGGGUUUAAAGGGUGCGUAGGUGGGCAGGUAAGUCAGUGGUGAAAUCUCCGGGCUUAACCCGGAACUGCCGUUGAUACUAUCUGUCUUGAAUGUAGUGGAGGUGAGCGGAAUAUGUCAUGUAGCGGAUGAAAUGCUUAGAUAUGACAUAGAACACCUAUUGCGAAGGCAGCUCGCUACACUAUUCUUGACACUGAGGCACGGAAAGCGAUGGGGAUCGA